UACGUAGGGUGCGAGCGUUGUCCGGAAUUAUUGGGCGUAAAGAGCUUGUAGGCGGUUUGUCGCGUCUGCUGUGAAAAUCCGGGGCUCAACCCCGGACUUGCAGUGGGUACGGGCAGACUAGAGUGUGGUAGGGGGAGACUGGAAUUCCUGGUGUAGCGGUGGAAUGCGCAGAUAUCAGGAGGAACACCAAUGGCGAAGGCAGAUCUCUGGGCCGUAACUGACGCUGAGGAGCGAAAGCAUGGGGGAGCGAACAGG
rnacentral:rRNA from 1 species